AUCCGGCUGACGAGUCUCGAACAGGACGAGGUGCGCGUCCUGUAU
rnacentral:hammerhead_ribozyme from 1 species